rnacentral:rRNA from 1 species
UACCAGCACCCCGAGUGGUCGGGACGAUUAUUGGGCCUAAAGCAUCCGUAGCCGGUUCUGCAAGUCCCCCGUUAAAUCCAGCUGCUCAACAGAUGGGCCGCGGAGGAUACUACAGAGCUAGGAGGCAGGAGAGGCAAGCGGUACUCAGUGGGUAGGGGUAAAAUCCUUUGAUCCAUUGAAGACCACCAGUGGCGAAGGCGGCUUGCCAGAACGCGCUCGACGGUGAGGGAUGAAAGCUGGGGGAGCAAACCGG